GGUUGCGAUCAUACCAGCACUAAUGCACCGGAUUCCAUCAGAACUCUGCAGUUAAGCGUGCUUGGGCGAGAGUACUACUAGGAUGGGUGACCCCCUGGGAAGUCCUCGUGUUGCAACCC
rnacentral:rRNA from 1 species